ensembl:lncRNA
UGAUGGGAGUCUUUAGCCUAAUGCUCUGCUCUAAAGAGAAUGCUCCCGUAUGGGCAGGUCCUGGAUCAGCUGUCCCCACCACAGUCAAACUGUGCCAGGACAAAUAAGAUAACAAAUUAGAUACUGGAGCCAUUUCAGAGUAUGACCUCUUCUGCUAACCAAUUCUCUCAGUAUGUGUGCUAAAGGAAGGCUAGAAGGCCCCUGGGUGGGGGAAAGCAUAGGCUAUAUGCAGCGUCCAUUGAGGAAAGUAGCAGUAGCAUAUUCAUAGUUAAAUCAAUAAACAGAGAUUAAGAUGCUGGACAUUGAAAUGGACGCCUGGAAUGGAUUGUGACCUUGGGAGUCCCCUCCCCCUAGGCCAGACAUGACAAACAACCGUGUUUAUGCAGAGUGGAGGUCACAGGUGUUGGCUCAGAGUUUUUUCCUUUUUAAAUGUGUUGGUUCCCAGUGAAAAAGGGCUUGAGGUUAGCAUCUAUGUGCCUGAGUGUCAUAGGUGAAAGGUCAUUAGUGACGUGCUUAUGGACCUUGCACCACCUUGACCUCCUUGCUUUUCUAGUGUCCAACAUUUGCCCUGGCUGUAAAUAUAUUACAUUUUCAGUAUUUCUCUGCGCGUGUGUUGACGUGCAAAUCAUUUGCGUGCUGUCUGUGUGUAUGACUGACAGGUGAGCAAAUUGCCACCUUCUUACUAUCUUAAUGGUGUGUACGUAGUUUAGAUUGUGUCUGAAUCGUGUGCUUUUUGUGCGGUUGUGAUUUGUGCCUGUGUGUGUGGAGGUGUGUGUCUGCAUGUUCAUAUGCGUGAGUGGAGGUAGGUGUGAUUGUGUGUGAGGGACUGUGCUUGACUCGGGCAGGAGGUCGCUUGAGCCUCAAUGUUCUACUGCUUCAGCUCCUGUUCCUCUUAUAGAACAUUCGCUCAACAGUACUGUGGAGCUCCUACACCUAAAUAUGAACAACAGUACCCAAAUGGAGAACCGGCACCUAUUUCAGUCCAAGUCAAGCCCUGGUGAUGCUUCCUACAGGAGCAGCAUUCCGAUGGUUCCAGUAAGACUCUGACCCUCCUCCACCCUUACCCCCUUACCCCCUUACCUACCCAAACCCAAAGCUCUGCGAUCAAGUGCAAUGCCAACUCUCGCUUGGAUUGUCUCGGCACGGACACUGGCUGACAAGCAAACAAACAACAAAAAUAUACAAAAGAACUCAACAGAAAUGAUACAAAAAAAAUAAUCAAUUGAGUAAUGGAUGCACCUGCUUAUUCCUUGAACCAAAAAUUUAACAUAAAGAAAAAUAUCUAUGGCAACUUUCAUUCCCUUUUCUAUGUUUCCAUUUUGGUACCUUUUGUCCUUUUUCCAGCAGGUUUUUUCUGUCUCUCAGACAUGGAACUGUUCGUUGCCAAACAGAAAUGACGGACUGAGUGUGGACAAUCAACUCAUUUGUGUGUUUGGUGUUAAUGUUGUUCACGUGUGGAAAGAUACAGUACUUGUGUAGAGAAUGUACAUUUACGGCUAUAUUUUCAAACUAGUGGCUAACGGCAGGCACUAUUGUAAUUUUAGCACCAUUGUUCUUAAACUUAAAGCCUUGUCUAUUUGAUGAUUUGUUUUUGUUUUACGAAUAUUGUUUUGAAAACGGAUCACUGGUUGUCUUGUAAAAGAACAAGGAGAUAUUUCAAAAUGUACAAAUACUUAUCGAAAUGAAAUAGCAACUGUUAUCCCAUCGGGCAGAAGUCCAGGGGACUCUUUAGCAGGAUGAUGCUAUCCUCCAGAGAACUGGAAUCUCCCCAACCAACAAACCAACCAACCAACAAAGCAACCAACCAACCGUGUUUUCCACGCCUGUAUUUCCAAGCUUUUUAUUUUGUGAAACUGGCAGCCUUACGUUCCUGUGGCCCAAACUAGUGUGUGUCAUGAGGAUCCCAACGCAGAGGGCGACAGCACUAAGAGACAGCACUUCCAUUUGGAAUAGCACAGAGGGUGACAGCACUAGGAGACAGCACUUCCAUUUGGAAUAGCUUAGCUCUGGGUCUACCCAUUUGAACGCACUGAAAAAAGAUUUCUUUGUUUUUUUUUUAUUAUGUUGCUGGUAGCUACAUCUUUUAAAACAACAGCGAUGUUUGUAUUCAUUUAGAAAAUUGGACUGGUUUUGUGAAUAAAAACGAAUGCAUGUAUUUGUGUCAAAAUUUAAAGUUCUGAUGUUUGUUUACUUGUCUUUGCAUGUUUUUUUUCUAAAACAAUGACAGAAUUUAGAAAAUUCUGAAGUAUGAAAAUGUCCAGUAAUAUUAAACAUUUGUUCCCUUUUCAUAUCAUUGGAUAUAACAAUAAAAAAAUGGAUGGGGUGGGAAAUACAACUCAUUAAAGCAGAAUCAGGAAAUGGUGAGUUUCACCAUGAGUCCUUGGUUUCAUUCAUUCAUAGAUAGUCAAUACAGACAACAACGAUAGUGUGACAGGGUAGGAACCACGUUUUUGGUCAGUGUUUCCCAGGAUGCCCUAAAAAGGGUUGAACAGCUCAGAAAAUAUAAAAACACACAUUAGUUCUCCUCAGGCAAGCUUUGUACCUGAAGGAUCUAUAGUGCCUUCAGAAGGUAUUCUCACCCCUUGACUUUUUCCACAUUUUGUUGUGUUACAGCCUGCAUUUAAAAUUGAUUAAAUUUAGAUUUUGUGUCACCCAUAAUGUCAACGUGG